AUCAAUCCUGAGUCCUCAUGGAUGCUGGUCAGAUUCUUAACCUGCUGAGCCACAGUGGGAUCUCUGUCUUGGUCUUCUUUGUCUUCUCUCUGUGUUCACAGUCUCUGCAGGAACUUUUCAUCACUGUGGCUCCAUCAAAUCUUAUAUGUCGGGGGAAGACUGACACAUGGUUGUUUUCAGCCCAGGCCUCUGUCUAGAGCUCCCACCUCACAUAGCCUCCCGGACCUUGUCCACAGAUGUCUCACAAAUACCUUGAAAUGAGUACUUGAAAUCUAAGCUCAUUUUCUUCACUCCAGUCUUGACCUUCAUUUGUCUUGGUAAACGGCCCUGAUACCCCACCAGUCCCCCAAGCCAGAGUCCUGGACUUUAUCCUCCGCCUUCCUGCUUUCUCUUCAAUAUCUUCCUUAUGUGUUUCCUCCCUCCCUUCCUGCCUCUGCUUAGUUCAGCUCUUUGGAAUCUCUUCCAUGGCCUACAGACAUUGGAUUCUGAGUGUUCUUCCUGCUUCCAUCCCAGACUCGUUCAGUACGUGGCUGCCAGAGUGAGGUCUUUAAAUCAAACAUCUGAAGCUGUUACUGUCUUAAUUAAAACCCUUAAACAUCUUUCCAUGGCCUAUAAAAUAAUAUUUGAGUUAUUUCAUGUGGCAUAUAUGAUCUGGCCCUUGCCUUCUUCUCCAGCCUUAUAAUCUUCAAGCUUCUACAUACACCCUAUACUCAUAUUUAUAGUUUGCUGAAAGAGCAAAUACACUUUGACUAACAUCUAAUACAGUCUGAAGCAACAAGAAACCCAUAUUUUUCCAUGCAUAUAAUAUUUGUGAAGUGAUAAAAUUAUAGAAAUGGAGAAUAAGUUGGUGCUUGCCAGGAUUAAAGAGGGGAGAGGGCAGGAGGAAAGUGGGUGUGGCUACAAAAUGGCAAAUGAAGGAUCUUUCUGGUGAUGGAAAUGUUUGAGACUUGAAUGCAUCAAGGUGGAUGUACUGGAUGUGACACUGUGCUAUAGUUUUGCAAGAUGUUAUCACUGGGGGAAAAUGGGUAAACAAUUAAUGGGAUCUCUUUUGCUCUCUCUGCCUUAUUUCUUACAACUGCCAAUGACUCUUUUGUUGGCUCAUAAUAAAAAGUGUAGCCAAAAAAUAACUGACACAAAUACUAAAAUAAACAUGUUGGCUUGACUACCUAGUUUGAGGAUUAUUGAAGACCAAAUCUUAGCACCACUGUUUAUUAGCAACAACACUGCUAUUUAGUAGGUACUUAUGAGCUGUGUAGUCUUAACUUUUGCAAGCCUCAAUUUUUCUCCCAUGUAUAGUGGAGGAUAAUAAUAUUUUAUAGCAAAACUUCCAACUGAUAUUCCACAGGACCCUGGUAUCCCAAAUCCAGGGGAGAAAAUAAUAACUUUCUCUUUAUUCUUCUAGAUUCUUGGCUGAGAUUCUCCUGUAAUAAAAGACAUUAACAGAAUAAAAAAAAUUCUUUAAUUAAGUAUGUAAUUUAAAUUAAUUUGGUACUUGUUAAUUAGAUUAAUUUUAAAAUUAAAUUGCAAUUUUAUUUAUUUAAUUAAUUAAUCCCCACAAAGAUAUGAAGUUCAAAAGGCAGCCAGACAUUGAGGCUUAUAUGUCAUCCUGAGCUAAGAAUGAGGGAGAGGGUUCUAGGACUUGAAAGGAGGGAAGGCAAUUCACAGAAGGUAAGGAGAGGAAAUGUUUGGUAAACAAAGUUUGCCCUCUCAUGCAGAUAUGUCUCUGAGGUGAAAAAAUUAUUUCUGGUAAUAACUCUCUUCCCAAUACAGGCUCCCUUUCUAAUGUAAGUUUUCCUUACAAAACAGUAACCUGUACCCUGUUUUCAGAGCCUCUCCUGUAUCUGAGGUUUCUCAAAAGAAUCAGCUCAAAACAAUUCUUUAUGCCAAAGAGGUGUGUAUUGAUUCACACAUUCUAAGAUUUUGGAUGAAUCCCUGGGCUGCUCUCCUUUGGGUCUGGGCAACCUCACCUGUUAAUCCCUGUGGACUCCAGAGUUGCCAUUUUGCAUGUGGCCACCACCUGGAAAAUUGUUAUAUGUGAAAAGACAGCAUAGGGUCUGGACAAUAGGAGCCAUUAGAAAGUAUGUUACCUUUUGUUUUGUUAAAUGGUUGUCUUUUUCUCAAAGGAAGAUAAUAAUAUUGGGCAUUUACCAUGCAUCAGGCACUUUAUGUACUCCAGUAUUUUAUCUAAACCUCACAAUGAUUUUGUUGACCGAAAAAAAAAAAAAAAAAGGCGCAAUCUGAAAAUUUUGUUUUAUUUGGUGGCCUUACUGAGAACGAUAGCCCAGAUACAACCUCUCAGAAAGCUCUAUCCAAGGAGGUAAGGGAGGAACCAAGAUAUAUAGUUUUUGCUGGACCAAAAAAAAUAUAGUUGAACAUCAGCAUAUUACUACUAAUCACAAAAAAAUCAGACAUUUCAAGUUAAUGAUUUUAGUGCUUUUCUAAUUAUGAGGAGAUACGAGAGUGGACUCAUUAAGAUUAUUCCUUUGAUAGGUGUCAGUAUCCUGUUUUUCUCCAUCCUAAAUUCCCCUCAGGGUGCACCAGGGGGAUGGCUGCAGUGGCUGAGGGCUUGGUGGUAGGCAAUAUUCCUCGUUUACUGAAAUGACAGGUGACAUUUUUUUUAUGUUCACAAUUUUAUGGGCUAAAUGGUUUUAUCUACAAAGAAACAAGGCUCAGAGAAGUUUAUGAGAUAUUGAGAACUUCUCAAUAUCUCACAGUCAAUGAGUAGUGAUUAACCCAGGGGUUUUCUUUUCAGAGCCUGAGUUCCUCACAUGGAGUAGUCUCAUCUUGCUUGAGAGCUGCCACACUCUGCAAAGUCUGUGUCUCUGGUGACUGAGAAGUUGGUCUUGCUACCUACAGGAGAGUCUAAAGGCUGUGACUCCGAAAAAGAACUUCGAUGACCUCAGCUCUAGGAUAUAAGGAAGGAAGGCUGGGGCUUUUUGCAGCCUCUCAACAGACAAAACAAGCAGAGAUGGAAAGAUAGAACUCAGAAAGAAGGAAUGCAGGUAGUGCUGGUCAAAUUAUGGUGCAUUCUAAACAUCAACGUGUUUGAAAGGUACUUCUUGGUAUUGGAUUUUAGCAAUUCGAGGUGGAUGUGACACCAUCAAGGAGGUAGGGCACAUGCUACUGUUGUGGUAAUGUUAUCAUAAUUGGGAACUAGGAUCAAAGUUUUAAAAGGCUGGAAAAUAGCUACUCUGUUUGCUUAUUUGAGUAGGUGGCUGGAGUUUUAUUCAUAAUUGAAAUCAGUUACAAAGUCAGUAAUGAUGGGGUUUCUGUGGUGAGAAAAAAACGGGGUGGGGGCAGUAACUCUCAAGAAAAACUAGAGGUGGAGUUCCUGCUGUGGUGCAACAGCAUGAGCAAUGUCUCUGGAGUGCUGGAACACACAUUCCAUCCAUGUCCAGGCACAGCUGUGGUGUAGGGUGCAACUGCAGCUGGGAUCUGAUCGCUGGCCUGGGAACUCCAUAGGUCGUGGGAUGGCCAAAAAACAAACAAACAAACAAACAAACAAAAACCUAGAAGUGAUCCGGUGCUGCAUUUUCUCUCUAUUUAGAUUCGAUAGUGAUAUACUAUUAAAGAAAAAAUUUUAUUAUUGACAUUUGUGUAGGAAAAACAGCUGUUACUACUAGUCUGACUCUCUAGCCUGUAACUUUCCUUUUCCCAUUGAAAGAAUAGUUUUUUUAAGGGAAUUGCUAAAAAUUGAAGGUUGCUUAGGAAAGCAGUUACUGUGUUUUUUAAAUAUAGUCUGAAAUUUAAGUGCUUCUGCAUAGUGUGAUAUGUAUGUGUAUGUUUAAAUUAGUUUUAAUCUAUACUCAAGGAGAUGGUCGAUAACACUUGAACUGUUCUAAUCAUAAAUCUGUGCUUGAAAAGUGGGUUACCCAUGAAAAAUGCUAUACUCUGGGUGACAUUUCUGCAAAAGCUUCUAAAACAACUUCUGAAUCUGCAUGUAGGGGGAUUUAAAGGGCUAGUAAAAUGAUGCAGGGAGUGAUGAGGAGCCUGUCAGGCUAACAUCUGGGGAGAACUAGAUUCAGAAUUCUGUCCUGCCUUCCUUCUCUUAAUGGAAGUUUCUCUUGUUUGAUCAGAUGAGAAGGAUAGCUGAUCUUCAAUCAGAAUGUUUUCGCCUUUUGCCCGGGAAUUAGCAUUUCAGGCAAGGUGUUUGUUGGAGUUCCUAAGUGAUCAAGGAGCUAGAAUUUCACUGAACUUACAGAGCAAGAAGUAUGAGUGUUUGGGAAUCAAUCCGUAAUAGGUAUUUGCACUCAUGUCUUGAUCUGGGAUGUAUCUUUCUUUUUUCUUCCAACCAAAAGUGUCUUUAUAUAAACUAUUGAUAGAUACUUAAAUACAGUAUGGUUUUUAAAAUGAAAUCAUGAUAUAUAUCUGUAUUCACACAGUACGCAACUCAAGUGCUAUACAACAUCAACAGCGAAUCCAAAUACAAAUGAAGAUAUGCCUCUGAAUUUCAUGUUUCAUCAAGGAUCAAGAACCAUCAAUCUUUUAGCUCUUUUCUUUUACAUUAUUCUGUAUCCACAUUCUCUGCCUUGGAUGCGAUCCCUUGAUAUUAUUUCAUUUUCUGUGACAUUCUCCCUAGAUAUUUAUCAUUGGCUCUGUUUUGGGGGAUUGAACGUCCUUCUGUGUGUCCACUGUUGUCCGCUCCAAUCCCAAACCACCAAACUCCUGCCCACGCAACACAGAGAAACUUCCCUAUGCUCCCACACAGAUUCUGGCUUGCCACUAAGAUGUAUCUUCGUGAGAGGUUGUGGGAAGACCUGUAGCUCAGUGACCAGACAUCCUGGUUUGCCCAGGGAGUUCCAGUUGAUACUUACUGUCCAGCCCUGAUUAUUAACAGCACCACCUUUCACACUUAAAAUUGUCUGAGUUUGGGAGUUCCAGUCGUGGCGCAACAGAAACCAAUCCGAGUAGGAACCAUGAGGUUGAAAGUUCGAUCCCUGGCCCUUCUCAGUGGUUUAAGGAUUCAGCAUUGCUGUGAGC